UGUCUCUCAAAUAAAUAAGCUUUUAAAAAAAAUAAAAAAAAUUAUUUUUAAGAUGCCUUUAUCAAAAUUAAGAAAUGUGUUAUUCUUUUCUCUUCAGUCAUGAAGGAACACAGUGUGGAGUUAUGUCACUUUAACAUAAUCUUGUGCUUUUUCCAGAUAGCACUUGAAAAAAAUGAAGGUGCUAUAUUGAGCUUCACUGAGAACUUUGAGUCUGCACCAGACCAUGUCUUAUAGUUUUGAGGUAUUUACUACACCAACAUAACAUGGAAAGAAUGUUGGACACAGGCGUGCACAAAAAUGAACACACGUGUGGCGGACGCCCGUGGCACCUAGCAAGGCAAUGGCCCCAAGUAAAAUGAGCGUAUAACUGCCAGCCCCGUUAUUGCUGAUGUCCAUUGCUCUCGUGUGUAGUCUCCCUACUGUUUAUAACAAAAUAUAUUAUUUUUUUCCUUA